AACGAACGCUGGCGGCAGGCCUAACACAUGCAAGUCGAACGCCGUAGCAAUACGGAGUGGCAGACGGGUGAGUAACACGUGGGAACGUACCCUUCGGUUCGGGAUAACUCAGGGAAACUUGAGCUAAUACCGGAUACGUCCGAGAGGAGAAAGAUUUAUCGCCGAGGGAUCGGCCCGCGUCUGAUUAGCUGUUGGUGAGGUAACGGCUCACCAAGGCGACGAUCAGUAGCUGGUCNGAGAGGAUGAUCAGCCACAUUGGGACUGAGACACGACCCAAACUCCUACGGGAGGCAGCAGUGGGGAAUAUUGGACAAUGGGCGCAAGCCUGAUCCAGCCAUGCCGCGUGAGUGAUGAAGGCCCUAGGGUUGUAAAGCUCUUUUACCCGGGAAGAUAAUGACUGUACCGGGAGAAUAAGCCCCGGCUAACUUCGUGCCAGCAGCCGCGGUAAU
rnacentral:rRNA from 1 species